rnacentral:lncRNA from 1 species
CCUGCCAUUUAUUUUUAACUUUCAUAUUUGCAUUUUAAAGUAUAGCAUAAUAAAAUAUUUUUGCUUCAGUUUUCCCUAAUGAGUUUUACAUUUUUAUAUUUUUCUAUAUUUCAGUAUUUCUAGAAUAUGAUACAUAAUAUUACAAACAAACUUAUAUUCUUCUACUUUUAUUUGGGAAUUAAAAUGGCUGUAAAAGGCACAUUUAUUUAAACUUUUCCUGCAGAGGAUUAAAGAAACUAGAAAAAAAAAUAUAAUCAUAGCCUUAUUUAAAUAUGUUUUAUCUCCCUGUCUGAAGUCCUUCUUUGUAUCCUGGUCCUCAGCUUACACAAUAGUAGGAAGCCAUUCUUGGCACAUGUUUUUGCAACUGUAGGACACUUCAGAAUCCGGUAAAACCAGUGCCCACCCCAAGUGUAAGGAAAAGAUUGUUCAAG